CGGCGCGCCUAACACAUGCAAGUCGAACGAGCGAGAGAGAGCUUGCUUUCUCAAGCGAGUGGCGAACGGGUGAGUAACGCGUGAGGAACCUGCCUCAAAGAGGGGGACAACAGUUGGAAACGACUGCUAAUACCGCAUAAGCCCACGACCCGGCAUCGGGUAGAGGGAAAAGGAGCAAUCCGCUUUGAGAUGGCCUCGCGUCCGAUUAGCUAGUUGGUGAGGUAACGGCCCACCAAGGCGACGAUCGGUAGCCGGACUGAGAGGUUGAACGGCCACAUUGGGACUGAGACACGGCCCAGACUCCUACGGGAGGCAGCAGUGGGGAAUAUUGCACAAUGGGGGAAACCCUGAUGCAGCGACGCCGCGUGGAGGAAGAAGGUCUUCGGAUUGUAAACUCCUGUUGUUGAGGAAGAUAAUGACGGUACUCAACAAGGAAGUGACGGCUAACUACGUGCCAGCAGCCGCGGUAAAACGUAGGUCACAAGCGUUGUCCGGAAUUACUGGGUGUAAAGGGAGCGCAGGCGGGAAGACAAGUUGGAAGUGAAAUCCAUGGGCUCAACCCAUGAACUGCUUUCAAAACUGUUUUUCUUGAGUAGUGCAGAGGUAGGCGGAAUUCCCGGUGUAGCGGUGGAAUGCGUAGAUAUCGGGAGGAACACCAGUGGCGAAGGCGGCCUACUGGGCACCAACUGACGCUGAGGCUCGAAAGUGUGGGUAGCAAACAGG
rnacentral:rRNA from 1 species